rnacentral:rRNA from 1 species
UACGUAGGGUGCGAGCGUUAAUCGGAAUUACUGGGCGUAAAGCGUGCGCAGGCGGUUCGUUGUGUCGGCGGUGAAAGCCCCGGGCUUAACCUGGGAAUGGCCGUCGAAACUGGCGAACUGGAGUGUGGCAGAGGGAGGUGGAAUUCCGCGUGUAGCAGUGAAAUGCGUAGAGAUGCGGAGGAACACCGAUGGCGAAGGCAGCCCCCUGGGCUGACACUGACGCUCAGGCAUGAAAGCGUGGGGAGCAAACAGG